GUUGGAGACGGUUUGGAAAGAAGAGCCCUUUUUCUGUUUCCUGACUCCUGUGGAUGACUCCUCUUCUUUGAAGAGCAGAGCCAGCAGCGGCAUGGAGGAUUUCUGGAAGAGUCCCACCACUGUCUCAUUGAGAGGAUCUUUGUUCUUCUCCAGCCAGCCAGCAAUGUUGUAUCCCACCUGAAAUUGGAGGACUUGCCCAGGUGGUUGUCAUAGAGAGCUGUUUUGAAUGUGACGUCCGUCGCCUUUGGGAACACACACUGCUCCUCCAGGAUGGAGAAGAUUCCCAUGGGCUGGUGACAGACAAAAGGAAUGUGCAAAGAAAUGAUAAGCAUAUGUGCAAAGUCCUGUUACAGAAUUGCACGAACAUGUGGUGGUUGAAGAACUGCUGUAGUUUCUCAUUGGUGAAGUUGAUGCACAGCUGCUCAAAACUGUUGAACUGGAGACAACAUUUACAUCAUGACAGGUGUGAAGCCCAGGACAUCAAAAGCCGCCUGCCAACAGGCGACGCACAUAUAUUGCAAAGCAGCAUAACUCAAUCAAAUGUUAAAGCUAGGAGUCCCAAUACUCACGUCAGUAAUCUGCAGCUCCUCGCCAUCGUCCAUGUUGUCCACCACAGUCACUCCCUGGCAUACCCACGCAUAUUGUUUGGGGUCUGCACUCAGCAGCAGAGCCUCUGAAAGACAGUGACCGGUUAAACACCGUCACACGAAACAGACUAUAGUCUAUCCAAGUCUUUAAAAAAUUAGACACUAUGAAGCCUGAGGCUUACCUGUGAGUUCUGGCUUCCUUGCAGACAAGAGCUGGUAGAAGAUGUGAUAUCCUCUCUCUGCGGCCUGCUGGGAAAUCACUCUGGAUUUCUCCAACAGAUCUGAUGCACACAGUCAUUCAAAAGAGUCCCAGUUUUGUCUUAAUCCUCUUGAGUACCUUAAAGCUGUAUAUAAGCAUGCAGUAAAACGCAGUGGCGGGCCGUGCGUUUCCCACCUAGGCCUUCAUAGAUGUCCGACUUCAAUGAUUACCUCUCAAAAUACCAUAAUUUAUGUCACCACAUGACCAUUGCUUGAGAAAUACUAUACAAAAAUACAUUUAUGCACUACAACGCAUUGAAUCAUCUCAACAGUGUACAAAACGGGCUAUUUUGUGGCGCAUUUAAAAUCCAAUAAACCCGCAUCCGCAAUUAAAAGAUAUCUUAUGUGGUACUGUCAAAAUGUAAAUUUUGAGAACAAUUCAACGUGAAAAAAUAAAGAAAUAAAAUAUUUGAACUCACAAUUUGUAGAACCCAUUCAACGCAGUAUGAGCCAGUGGCUGAUUCGAGUGGAAGUGGCGGGCAUUUCCCCAUUUCAUCGCCGGGACAGAUGUAAUUUCUUUAAAUUUCCUUCUUGAAAAUGGCCUUGCAAAUAUAUAUAUCUGCCACUUAAUCAAUGUUUUGUUCUCCUUCUUUGUGGCUUAAAAAAAUUGUAUUGGUGAUUUCUCUGCUAGCCCGGUAUGGCUACGGUGCUACACUUCCUGUUUCAGUAAAAUUGCAACUUGUGGUUUGAUACUCACUUUGGAGUAACAAGUGAGUAUCUAAUCACAGUCUCGUUAACAUCAGGCUACCUACAUAAGUUACUGUCAAAAACUUGUGUUCUGAUUGGCUAUUGCAACUGUUUAUCAACCGUAUGUGUUCUGUUCGUUUGCAUAAAGUUAAUCCGCUAACGGUCCCAGGUGUGGUUCUGCUGAUCUGCAUAGCACCGCUGCGGCUCAAACUACACUUAAAUAUUUCACAAUAAAACCAACGUGUAAAUGUCAUGUUCAACGUCAAGGCCUACUAGAAGGCCUUACUGACAACAACUCGUGACCUGAUUGGCUGUCGCAAUUAUUUAUCAACUGUAUGUGCCCAUUCACUUACUGUGCACAGACGCCCGGGCAGAUUUCGUACAGCAUGGCAACAUAAGCUAGCUAAAUUCUGAUUGGAUAAAAAUUCUAACCUAAAAACCACAGCACCGGAAGGAGCAUAAUAUGACAUGCAGAGAAUAUGAAUACUUUUAGAUAUUUAGGGAAAGUAAAUAAAAAAAAUACUUUUAUCUUUGAUUAUGAUCACAAUUUCUGGUUAUGUUAGGCCAGCAGAGAAUGCCUUGCUGGCCCUGAUGGCACACCACUGCUAAAACCAAAGUCCUGAAACGCACUCACAUGUCUCAAUGUCGGCACCAGCCAGCUUAGUUGUUGGGCCAAAGUGGAUGCGGAUGAACUUUCCCUGUAAAAAAAAACAAGGAUGUACAUAAUCAUCACUUAAAAUUGCUUACUUUAGACAUAUUUGAAUCAAUAUCACAUAUUGAGAAUUGUCUGAUUACAUACAAAGCGUGAGGAGUUGUUGUUUCUGAUGGUCUUGGCGUUACCAAACGCCUCCAGCACAGGGUUAGCCUGAAUGAUCUGGUCCUCCAGAGAGCCCUGCGAAGAGAGCGGACUGUGAGGAGUUUGAAUUUUGUUCUUUAUUUUCAUGUCCUGGUGUUGUUUCUGCUGGUUUAUGCUGUCCAGGUAAAUAAUGAAAUGAUUUGACCUGGGGUCACGCCAGCAGCCAAAUAGCACCACCGUGACAAAGACAUUACCUUUGUGUCUCUUCAACCAGCACACUUUCGGUUGCAUUGUGGAUUACAGUCAGAAUCAGUUGAAAAGAAGGACAAACAUAACUGAAGCCCAACCAAGUUUUAAUCAUACUUAAGCUUUUCUAAACCCAUAUUUGUUCUUACUAUGUGAUGCUUAUCUUAAGUCUUAUGUCUCAAAGUCAAGGAUCGCGGGCCAGAUCCGACUCACGAAUGAAUUAGCUAUGGCCCCCAGGAUGAUAUUUGAUUAGUAUUACAACCGGCCUGCAGGCCACAGCCGCCUGCUGCUGUUUUACAUGCACCAAUACUCCAUCAGUGUUGGUGCUAGGAAUUUUCAAAAUAGGGUCCCAUGGACCCCAUCAAGUCAUAAAAAUGGGGUCCCACUGUAAAUUUUUGGGGUCCCACUUUUUUGUAAUUGUUUUGAAAACAAAUGAUAAAUGUGUGCAUUAUCCUGUUAUACUUCAUAUUCUAUAUUGUGUUUUGGAAAAAGGUUGUCAUAAACGUUAAUUAAUUCAUUAAAAAAAAAUGCAAACGAAAACAACUUUUUAUGCAUAUGUAAAUGUAUUCAGUUAUAAAUAUUUAUUCACUUUUUUCUUUCCUUCAUGGAUCUAAACUUUACUGCUGCCGGUAUUUUUUUCUAUUUUUUAUUGUAAUAUUUUCAAAAUGUGUUUGUUCUAUUUUUGGCCAAAGUAGGACCAAGAAAACCAUCUGAAGUUGUCUUUAUUUUGUAGUUUUAAUGCCAUGAUUUUAACAGUCCGCCCCGCGUGUGCACAGAUUUUCUGACAAUAAAAUUGCAUUUGUGUCAAAAUAUUGCAA